rnacentral:lncRNA from 1 species
UUCUUGUAAUUCAAAGGUGUUAUAGAAAUAGAAGAAAAUUAUAAAAUUAAGCAGUUGUUUUUCUUCUGUGUUUCUGCUCCCACAGUUCUUUCUCUGGAUGUGAAUAGCUGAACAACAUUUCUGAGUGCCAUCUCAGAGUUGGAGUCAGGAAGAGAGAACUUAUAAAUUAUAACUUCCAUUGAUGAAAAAGUGGAUUGUCAACUGGAUUUGGAAGGAAGGCCUGAGUUCAAAUUCCAUCUCUGAAGACUCCUGCCUUUAAACCUAAUCACAUUAAUUCAGUUCUCUUUCUCCUACUUCUAUUGAUAAGAUUCUAAAUUCGUGAGCAUGUUUUUAUCAGCCUUGGUAAAGAGUUUCCUCACAGGAAGCUUCCUAUAUUAAUGAAAACAUAAUACUCGUCAAAAAUCAAAAGUUAUGGACCUCAAUUGGUUGGGACAGUGCAGCAUUACAGAGAAGAGAAAAUAAUAAAAGAAGAGAAAAUGAUAAAAUGAUAAAAAAAAAAACCUUGCUUGGUAAGUUUAGAAUUUACACUGAACAAAACCACUCAAAUUAAGGAGUUAAUAAGAUCAGUG